CAUGUAUUUGUGGACGUGUCAUUUCAGGACGAGGUGUUUGCUGCAGGCGAAGCAGCAGCCUGAGUAAGGUGUGCUGAGAGCCAUUUAUAUUCAGACAGAUGAGGUUAAAUAAAAGUGGAUGGUGUCACACAGCUACUGCUACAACGGCUUCCACCAUUUAAGACUCUAGAGCCUUGUGUUCCUCAAAGUGCAUUUUCAGGGUUGAGGUGACCAAAUGUGACUGGAAGGAGUUAAAAUCAUUAUAUGUAUCUUCAGUCAUUUCAACAUUCAUCACCAGCUACUUUCCCCUCAGGUCUCCUCUUUAUCUUCCUCCCUUGUCCCUGAGCAGCGUCACAGGAACAUGCUGGAUUGUGUAACGCUGUCAUAUUUCUUCAACAGUACAUGUUUGUGGGGUCCAAGCCUGUCACAUUGUUGUUGCCUCUGGAUUAUGUGCAGUGCUGAAUCUUCUUGGCCCACAGUAAAGAUGACAUGAGAGGCUUUAUGUGGAGGAGGGCUGCCGUUCUGUUUUUUUGACCAACCUACAUUCUUGCAUUUGAAGAGUUGAAAUAAUUUGCUCUGAGGUGGAUUUUCCACAUCACCAAAAGUUAUGCAGCAUUUAAUGUUUUAUAAUAUGAACAUUUAACCUUUAGAUAAUAUUCAGAUAAGGACAGUUUGUGUGCUGAAUAUGACAUCCUGAAAAUUAGAACAUGUUCGUUGGAUUUUCUCACUUCCUAGACUUCCAGAAGUUUACAGGGCAAACCUGGGGCUCUCACAGAAACCCACCGUCCUAUCUAAUGUUACAGAAAACCAAAUGAGCCAGGAUGUAGCAGAGUAGCAGGGACACUCAGAAGGAGCAUGGAGACAUGCGCUGAAGCUGCGGGCGCCGUCAGAACAUUUAAUUGAGUUCAACCGUGAUAAGAUUCCUGCAAUUUUUCCAACAUUUUCCUCCCACCCACUGGGAGCUCAGCAGGGCUUUAUAUGCCUGUUUGGUUUAAGAGAGAUGAGAGGAGAGCGACAGGGUAUGUAGGGGCCUCAAGAAGAAAGAGCAAAAGUAGGAAGAAGAGCACUGAGAGGAGAUAAAAGGUGAAAAAGGGAGCAGGCACAUGAAUGGAACAAAAGGACAAGAGGUAGAGAAAGUGAAAAUAAAAGAGACAGCACGAAGACAAGCGACAAUGACGAGGAGCAAAGAGCAGCAACAGGAAGACUGGAAAGAGAUAAAGAUAGAUGAUGAGAUACGUUCAUCACUACACAUCCGGGGGGUCCCAUCAUACUGAUUCUGCCCCACCGGAGCAGGACAAUGACCAGCUGUGACAGGCUACCAGUCUGGAAUUUAGAAAGCCUCAUCUCCUACCGUCAGUCCAAGACAAAAAUGUCCCCUAGUGAUAUGAAUUUAUGAUAACAUUAAUGCAGCGGGGGAAUGGAGUUCUUCACCGGGGCAUACUGUCUGUGACUAUGUUGCCUGGAGGCAAACAAACACACUGUUAGAUGAGAGGGGGGCUGGUAAGGAGGAUCUUCGGAGAGGAGUAAACCAAACAAACUUAAUCCACUAAAAUGAUAUACAAUAUGAUGAUGCCGCUGUUGGUAAAUAGAAGCAGAUGUUGUGAGUUUGCUGUAACCCCAAGGAGUGUGGAGAAGAACACACAGGUUGUAGAGUGUGUGUUUGCAGUUUGGCACAGAGAGGAUAUGUCACAUACGCAUCUGAAGCUGUGUACCAUAUAUUAUGGUUAAUGAGAUUAUGAUGAUAAAAUCGCUUUAGCUCUGGUAGAUAUCAGAUUAUCAUUGCUGUAGGAAGUGAACUGAUGAAUAAUUAUGCAAAUGUAAAACACUUCAGCACGUUGACUACCAGACUGAACCAAAAGUAUGCAUUUUAUCUUAUGAGAAACAAAUGGGAACAAAGACAAAGUUCCUGCAUUACCCACAAUGUAACUCGACCGCUGACAGUUCAGUAGGAGAUUCUGCUGUAUAGGCUAGUAAGGGCAAAUGUACCCUGGAGCCGGAUGCCUCAAGCCACAGUGAGGAGAAGUCUACUGAGGUCUGGUAACCUCACUGUCAAGCUCCACACUGCUUGCAACUGUGUCAUUAUGUAAUAAUAAUGUAACUUGCCCUCCAACAAAAUGCAUUUUCACGUUACAGACUUUUCUCAAGUAACUUUGUUGUCUCUGUAAGGCGUUUACAGAAAAAUGAAUGGAAAGCAAUGGCUGCCUGGAAGGUCUAAAAUCUGUCUAAAAUCUUAAGCUGUGCUUUACAUAAUAGCCACAAUUUGUACUCAAUGUGUUGAAACAUAAAAAAAACACCAGUAUGGGCUUUUAAAAGAAAAAUGUGUGAACAAGUGUUAAAGAUGUAAAG